GGGGUUGUGGCUCAGUGGUAGAGCACUUGCCUAGCACAUGCAAGGCCCUGGGUUCGAUCCUCAGCAUCACUA
rfam:Ictidomys tridecemlineatus contig072641, whole genome shotgun sequence.